GACGAACGCUGGCGGCGUGCCUAAUACAUGCAAGUAGAACGCUGAAGGAGGAGCUUGCUUCUCUGGAUGAGUUGCGAACGGGUGAGUAACGCGUAGGUAACCUGCCUGGUAGCGGGGGAUAACUAUUGGAAACGAUAGCUAAUACCGCAUAAUAGCAGUUAUUGCAUGAUAACUGUUUGAAAGGUGCAAUUGCACCACUACCAGAUGGACCUGCGUUGUAUUAGCUAGUUGGUGGGGUAACGGCUCACCAAGGCGACGAUACAUAGCCGACCUGAGAGGGUGAUCCGCCACACUGGGACUGAGACACGGCCCAGACUCCUACGGGAGGCAGCAGUAGGGAAUCUUCGGCAAUGGACGGAAGUCUGACCGAGCAACGCCGCGUGAGUGAAGAAGGUUUUCGGAUCGUAAAGCUCUGUUGUAAGAGAAGAACGAGUGUGAGAGUGGAAAGUUCACACUGUGACGGUAUCUUACCAGAAAGGGACGGCUAACUACGUG
rnacentral:rRNA from 1 species